AUUUAAAAAAAAGAAAAAAAAACCUAUUAUACACUGUGUAGCAUUGGUUAGAGUGCUUUAUUAUAUUUUUUGCCAGAAGAAGGGAACAAACCAUAUUAGAAGUAUUGAGGUUGUUUUCUGUUUGGAUGCUGAUUAAUACUUUUCUGUGGUUACUUAUACUAGAACAGAUAGUUCAGGAGAACCCUGCCUAAUUUCAGGUGACUGUCAAACACGUGAUAUUGUGUAUAAAAAUGUAAUUUAGUGAAAACAUUAGUCUUUAUACUUUAUCAAGGAUUGCAAUACUUCACAACAUGAAUCUGUACUAAUAUGUAAAUGUUUUCCUUUUCUGCACCUCUGCGAUGUGUAUUGACGAUUCUUGUGUAAGAAGUCUGUAGUGUGGAUUUGUGGAUUGUAUGUGUUGGUGUGACCUUUGCUCGCAUUGUUGAAAGUGAGAUCAGCUCUUAUAUUUCCUUUUUCAUUUACCAUUCUUUCGGUGUAAUUGUAAACCUUUGUUCUGUCUAGAGAAUUAUUUAAUUUAUCAAGCUCAUGUUUAUCUCUAUGGCAAUAUAACACCUAGUAUCACUCAGAAUUAAAAUACUUUUUAAUUAUUUGCAAACCUAAAGAUUUAUAUUCAGUAAAACGUGCAUAAAAUGUUCUGUGACAAUGUAUAGUACACAAGCUAUGAGGCAAAUAAAAAUUUAUACAGUUCUGUAAAAGCUUUUUUAAAACACCCAUUAAAUUUUAGAGAACUUUAAAUGGAUUGAGAUUGGUAUAUUGGUGAUAUAAAUAGUGAUGGAUUAGGGCCGAAAUCAGUUUUGAGUUAGGGUGUGGUAAUUUUACAGGGGCCCUAAUUUUGAAGGGUGUCUGUAAUGCAGUGGUUGUGUACAUGUAAUUAACUUAAAAAAUAGCCUAUUAGUGCAUGUUCACUUGUUAUCUUAGGCCACUUCACAAAUAAAUGUUUUCAUUUUGUCUCUUGCUUUGCAAUAAUCCUCCCUGAAAACGGCCCUGGUGUUCUCUCCAUUUUUCCCAGCACUAGGGACAUUGGUGCAUUGGCACAUACCUUACUUAAAAUCACUAAUCCCUGAUGUCUACAUUAUAUGUGUAUAGAAUAAUAUAAGAAAACGUACAAAGGGGUAUUUUGGCAGCGGUUUAGUGCGUCUUAUUUUCUUGUUCAACAUGUUGAAACAUACUCCAGUUAAGAUGGAAACUAAAGGGUGAUUGGCGAGAGUCGCUGAACUGGCACGGUAUGUCACAUGAUUCCACUCCCCGCAAAGUGUGAUGGGUUUUGUAGUUAGAGGGGAUGUGUUGGACUACGAGGUGUUCGUUGGUUUCUACAGAUGGCCGAAGCCUGGCGACCGCGUGGAGGCAGUCCUCACUUUACCCAUAAUGCUUUGCCGUUUGUUAUAAAAAAGGAAAGCGCGGGACAGGAUAUUCUUUCUGACGUGGUGCUAUGGCAGUAGGUGGUAGGAACUAAGUUCAGUUUAUUUAAAUAAAUACGUGAAUAAAGAAAUGCUGAUUUUUUUUUUUUUUUUUGCCGAGACCCGAGAAAAUGGAAACGCCUUCUUAUUCUGGCGUUUGAUAAAAUGGGGUUGAGUUCUUAAAACACAAGUGUUCUGUUUGACUGGAGCUGAACCAUGAGCAAAGGUUUGUGCAACAGAUGCGUAUGGGAACCGAAGUGGAUGCUGUAGCAUGUUCCUCUGAGCCAGCUGAAUUCACCUUAGGUUUCUGUAUUUAGAGUAAUUUCACAAGCAGUUUUGUAAGCCGGAGGCGAGUUGUGUUCUUGUAAAUAAAGUACAGUAUUAAAUGAUGCAGUAUGUUAAAUGUUUAUAUAUUGUGUGUGUUGGAAUUGUGACUGACUUGAAUGUACCAUUGUUACCAAAACAUUUUCUCCUUUUCUAAAGAGAUGUAUGGAGCAACAAGCACCCAGAGUGUACACUCAUGCUAGGGAUUCAAAGAAAUGUUUGAAAUCGUGCCUCCUGAAUAUAGGCCUAACCUGUAACUCCAUGGGCAGGGGUCAGAUUAAGCACUGCAAGGUCACAUGGCUGUCUUUAGUAGAUUUUUUUUUUAAAAAAUGUUGUCUACAGAUAAGCAUUUCCUACUACCACCAAUGAGCCUCCUGCACCUUUGUACUGGCAUUUUCCUCACUGUUCCUGUCCAAACCGCUGCAGUUUCCCCACGUUUGAAGGGUGCCUUCUCCCAACUACUGUUUUAAAAUCUCAUAAAUUUUCUAUGGGAUUUCCAUUUGGACUCAUUGUUGGAAACUUUACCAACAUAUUUGAUUAAGACUAUAAAAAUCCGAGUUCAUUUUUGUGCCAGUAUCAGUGAUGUCAGGGCAAAGACUUGUUCUUUGAGAAACUGACAGUGUUCCCUAAAUCUGUCGUGGCACGGUGGCACAGGGAGUAGUGCUGCUGUCUCACGUAGGUUCGA